rnacentral:tRNA from 1 species
GGGCGGGUAGCUCAGCCGGUUAGAGCAAGGGGCUCAUAACCCCAAGGUCGCUGGUUCGAAUCCAGCCCCGCCCA